UCGGAACUCAAAGUGGCCGUGGUGGGUCUGAAAUGCCGUCUUAUGUUGAUCCUCGGGCGCCAUGCGAAUUUGGUAGAAACCAGCACGGAGGUCCAACGUUGAAAACCAGGCAGCCCCAUAUAACUCGUCGAGCAGUUCAUCCAUAAUAGGAACAGGAAUUCGGAGGAAGGAGCAGAGCUGCAGAGGUAGUAUUGAUUCUGUUCAAUUGUUCGAUCCUGUUUUCCUCCACACACUCUCCUUAUCUACUGGUACUGCCACAUGGGCUUACAUGAACCACUUGUCCAAUGGAAAAAGAGAAUUGGGCCUACGGACACGGCGGCCCGACACCUUGAUUUGCUCAUCCUGUAGCACGCUUUCAUCAGAGUUCCCCUGUAGCCCCUCUGGUAUGCUGACAUGGCUGAAGCUGAGAAGGCGACCGCAGAGGCUGCGAAGAGAGCCGCUGUUACGCUGCGUAGCGAUCAUCUACUCAACGAAACCUGUGAUGAAGAGGACGUGGAUACUUUUAGCGAGUGUGAUACUGUGAUGAUUAUGAGGAGGAGGCCAUUUGGAAUCAACCACUCCCUCCAACUCUCGCUGAUCACUGUGAGGAGUGGGGCCUCAACCUAGAGGAGAUCCUAGAUCGCUCCAUUUGAAUGUUGUCGUACUAACAGAAGAUUGUUUUAAGUUAUCAAUGAAUUGUUUAGUCUUUUAGAUUAUGUGAUAUGUCGUUUUGAACAGGACAAUGCCCUGAGUAGCUUUUGAACAACCUUCUAUAAUAUGAACCGGCCAAUGGCCUAUGUUGAUGAAUUAUGGUGUGGACUUAUGUGAUGUUUCUGUGUAUGCGCUUGAUGAUCCAUUUGAAAUUGAGUUGA